rnacentral:lncRNA from 1 species
CAAUUUAAUGUAAAUACAAAAAUCUGGGUCCACCGUCAACCGCGACUGCAUCCGAUAGUCUGAAACAGUCUACACACUACUGUAAAAUAAACUCGGCAUCCCAGCACGAGCGUAAAUUUAUUCUACACUAUUCUGGAUAUCCGCCGCAUACAAAUUACGGCGAUACAAACAAACCACAGCUCCUAAAGCUAAAUCUAAUAAUUUUCAGAAAGUGACAGUGUAGAAUCUAAUAGUUUUCUCCAAAGAUAAUUCCAAGUCCAACAUGUAAAAUGAUACAACUAGCUUAAC